UGUUUGGUAGCUGCUUGCUGUGGUGGUCCUGGGUAUCUUCCAAAAGGCUGUGUGAGUUGAAGGUUUGGUCUUGUGCCUGUGGGCUAUGGAGACAGAGCUGUUAGGAGGUGGGAGCCAUGAGCCUGUGGGCUAUGGAGACUGAGCUGUUAGGAGGUGGGAGCCAUGAGCCUGUGGGCUAUGGAGACAGAGCUGUUAGGAGGUGGGAGCCAUGAGCCUGUGGGCUAUGGAGACUGAGCUGUUAGGAGGUGGGAGCCAUGAGCCUGUGGGCUAUGGAGACAGAGCUGUUAGGAGGUGGGAGCCAUGAGCCUGUGGGCUAUGGAGACAGAGCUGUUAGGAGGUGGGA